CCUACGGGUGGCUGCAGUGAGGAAUAUUGGUCAAUGGGCGCGAGCCUGAACCAGCCAAGUAGCGUGAAGGAUGACUGCCCUACGGGUUGUAAACUUCUGUUAUAAAGGAAUAAAGUGAGGCACGUGUGCCUUUUUGUAUGUACUUUAUGAAUAAGGAUCGGCUAACUCCGUGCCAGCAGCCGCGGUAAUACGGAGGAUCCGAGCGUUAUCCGGAUUUAUUGGGGUUCAAGGGAGCGUAGAUGGGUUGUUAAGUCAGUUGUGAAAGUUUGCGGCUCAACCGUAAAAUUGCAAUUGAUACUGGCAGUCUUGAGUACAGUUGAGGUCGGCGGAAUUCGUGGUGUAGCGGUGAAAUGCUUAGAUCUCACGAAGAACCCCGAUUGCGACGGCAGCUUACUAAACUGUGCCUGACAUUGAUGCUCGACAGUGUGGGUAUCAAACAGGAUUAGCUACCCGUGUAGUC
rnacentral:rRNA from 1 species